rnacentral:rRNA from 1 species
GAUGAACGCUGGCGGCGUGCCUAAUACAUGCAAGUAGAACGCUGAAGGAAGGAGCUUGCUCCUUCCGGAUGAGUUGCGAACGGGUGAGUAACGCGUAGGUAACCUGCCUGGUAGCGGGGGAUAACUAUUGGAAACGAUAGCUAAUACCGCAUAACAGUAGAUGUUGCAUGAUAUCUACUUAAAAGGUGCAAUUGCACCACUACCAGAUGGACCUGCGUUGUAUUAGCUAGUUGGUGAGGUAACGGCUCACCAAGGCGACGAUACAUAGCCGACCUGAGAGGGUGAUCGGCCACACUGGGACUGAGACACGGCCCAGACUCCUACGGGAGGCAGCAGUAGGGAAUCUUCGGCAAUGGACGGAAGUCUGACCGAGCAACGCCGCGUGAGUGAAGAAGGUUUUCGGAUCGUAAAGCUCUGUUGUAAGAGAAGAACGAGUGUGAGAGUGGAAAGUUCACACUGUGACGGUAUCUUACCAGAAAGGGACGGCUAACUACGUG